rnacentral:tRNA from 1 species
UUUUAAAGGAUCCUAGUUU